GAGAAAUUAAGGUAGAAAGAAGGAAAGAGCUACGGUUUUGGGAGGAGAAAAAGGUAAGUUCUCCAAUUCCGUUCCAAGAAUUAAUUAUAUGAGUUAUACCAUGAUGUUAUGAAGAUAUUAGUAAUGAAAUUUUAUGGUUUGAAGCAGCCCAAAACGUUACCAAACAGCCAAUAAGUUUCAGCUGCGCUAAAGGAAAUUCUGAGGCGAGUUUUGGCGAGUUUUGGUGAAUUUCGGGAAAGGUUCAAGAGACGACGAGGCGAGCAUAGUUAAGAGUAAUCCGUAAGAGGUACAGAUGAUUGGUUUGCUGAUCCGCUCGCUUAGGACAUCCACCAUGUUGGUCGACAGUG